UACAGAGGGGGCAAGCGUUGUUCGGAAUUACUGGGCGUAAAGGGCGCGUAGGCGGCCUUCUAAGUCGAACGUGAAAUCCCCGGGCUCAACCCGGGAACUGCGUCCGAUACUGGAAGGCUUGAAUCCGGGAGAGGGAUGCGGAAUUCCAGGUGUAGCGGUGAAAUGCGCAGAUAUCAGGAGGAACACCGGUGGCGAAGGCGGGUCUCUGGGCCGUAACUGACGCUGAGGAGCGAAAGCAUGGGGAGCGAACAGG
rnacentral:rRNA from 1 species